rnacentral:rRNA from 1 species
UGGCGAACGGGUGAGUAACACGUGAGUAACCUGCCCCUGACUCUGGGAUAAGCGUUGGAAACGACGUCUAAUACUGGAUAUGACUGCCGGCCGCAUGGUCUGGUGGUGGAAAGAUUUUUUGGUUGGGGAUGGACUCGCGGCCUAUCAGCUUGUUGGUGAGGUAAUGGCUCACCAAGGCGACGACGGGUAGCCGGCCUGAGAGGGUGACCGGCCACACUGGGACUGAGACACGGCCCAGACUCCUACGGGAGGCAGCAGUGGGGAAUAUUGCACAAUGGGCGAAAGCCUGAUGCAGCAACGCCGCGUGAGGGAUGACGGCCUUCGGGUUGUAAACCUCUUUUAGUAGGGAAGAAGCGAAAGUGACGGUACCUGCAGAAAAAGCACCGGCUAACUACGUGCCAGCAGCCGCGGUAAUACGUAGGGUGCAAGCGUUGUCCGGAAUUAUUGGGCGUAAAGAGCUCGUAGGCGGUUUGUCGCGUCUGCUGUGAAAUCCCGAGGCUCAACCUCGGGCUUGCAGUGGGUACGGGCAGACUAGAGUGCGGUAGGGGAGAUUGGAAUUCCUGGUGUAGCGGUGGAAUGCGCAGAUAUCAGGAGGAACACCGAUGGCGAAGGCAGAUCUCUGGGCCGUAACUGACGCUGAGGAGCGAAAGCAUGGGGAGCGAACAGGAUUAGAUACCCU